CAGCCGCCACGGGAAUACGUAGGUGGCAAGCGUUGUCCGGAAUUAUUGGGCGUAAAGGGCUCGCAGUCGUUUUCUUAAGUCUGAUGUGAAAGCCCCCGGCUCAACCGGGGAGGGUCAUUGGAAACUGGGAAACUUGAGUGCAGAAGAGGAGAGUGGAAUUCCACGUGUAGCGGUGAAAUGCGUAGAGAUGUGGAGGAACACCAGUGGCGAAGGCGACUCUCUGGUCUGUAACUGACGCUGAGGAGCGAAAGCGUGGGGAGCGAACAGGAUUAGAUACCCCAGUAGUCCCUGUCUCUUAUAA
rnacentral:rRNA from 1 species